ACGCUCGACACCUACUGGAGGCAGCAGUAGGGAAUUUUCGUCAAUGGGGGGAACCCUGAACGAGCAAUGCCGCGUGAGCGAAGAAGGUCUUCGGAUCGUAAAGCUCUGUUGUAAGAGAAAAACGAGCGCCAUAGGGGAUGAUGGAGCAGUGAUGGUAUCUUACCAGAAAGCCACGGCUAACUACGUGUCAGCAGCCGCGGUAAUCUGAGCGGGCUGGCAAGGC
rnacentral:rRNA from 1 species